ACGAACGCUGGCGGCGUGCUUAACACAUGCAAGUCGAACGGAAAGGCCCUGCUUUUGUGGGGUGCUCGCGUGGCGAACGGGUGAGUAACACGUGAGUAACCUGCCCUUGACUUUGGGAUAACUUCAGGAAACUGGGGCUAAUACCGGAUAGGAGCUCCUGCUGCAUGGUGGGGUUUGGAAAGUUUCGGCGGUUGGGGAUGGACUCGCGGCUUAUCAGCUUGUUGGUGGGGUAGUGGCUUACCAAGGCUUUGACGGGUAGCCGGCCUGAGAGGGUGACCGGCCACAUUGGGACUGAGAUACGGCCCAGACUCCUACGGGAGGCAGCAGUGGGGAAUAUUGCACAAUGGGCGGAAGCCUGAUGCAGCAACGCCGCGUGCGGGAUGACGGCCUUCGGGUUGUAAACCGCUUUCGCCUGUGACGAAGCGUGAGUGACGGUAAUGGGUAAAGAAGCACCGGCUAACUACGUG
rnacentral:rRNA from 1 species